UGAUUGGCAAUUAAGGGCGAAUGGUGGAUGCCUAGACACCAAAAGGCGAUGAAGGACGCAGCGUAGCGGCGAUACGCCUCGGGGAGGUGCGUAGCAACCGGUGAUCCGAGGAUGUCCGAAUGGGGAAACCCUGUCGUGUAAACCACGAUGACCCCGACCUAGGUCGGGGAGCGAACCCGCUGAAGUGAAACAUCUCAGUAAGCGGAGGAACAAAGAACAAGUUUAUUCCCUGAGUAGCGGCGAGCGAAACGGGAAGAGCCCAAACCCAUGUGCAUCGCACUAAGGUGCGCUGCAGAAUUCAGUCUUCGGGAUCUAGAAUUUGGCGGAAGGCUGCCGGAUUCUAAAUUCUAAUUUCUGAUCUCUGUACGGCGCUUUAGCGCGGUGUGCGUGGGGGUUGUAAGGGAGAAACUCUACUUGCUUAUAACCGAAAACCGGGCAACCGGUCAUCGGUUAUGAGUAGGUGUGGGAAAGUUACAAAAUCAUGAGUUAGCCGAAGUCCUCUGGAAAGUGGAGCCAAAGACGGUGAUAGCCCGGUAGGCGAAAACUUAUGAUCUUUCUAGUUUCUUUUCUUGAGUACUUCAAGGUAAGAGCGCCUUGAAGGAAACCGCGAGUACUAUCUCGCAAGGCUAAAUACUUUUGGUGAUCGAUAGUGAACAAGUACCGUGAGGGAAAGGUGAAAAGCAGGCCGGUGAGGCCGUUGAAAUAGAACCUGAAACCAUUUGCCUACAAGGAACCGGGGCCCGAAUCCCGACGCAAGUCGGGAAGGGUGACGGUGUGCCUAUUGAAGAAUGAGCCAACGACUUAUGGGACAUCGCAAGUCUAACCCGCGGAGCGGGGGAGGCGCAGGGAAACCGAGUCUUAAUAGGGCGACAUACAAGCGGUGUGCCAUAGACCCGAAGCCGGAUGAGCUUGCCUUGGCCAGGAUGAAGGUCGCCGAAAGGCGACCGGAGGUCCGAACCGGUGGGUUGUUCAAAACCUUCGGAUGAGCUGAGGUAAGGAGUGAAAAGCUAAUCGAAUUCGGUAAUAGCUGGUUCUCUCCGAAAUAGUUUUAGGACUAGCGCCGUGCGGUAGCGGAUGGGGGUAGAGCACUGGAUGAUUGGUAAAGGCCGAAAGGCCGAUCAAUCAAUCAAACUCCGAAUACCGUCCGUGGAAUCACGGUAGUUAGAACGUGGGGGCUAAGCUCCAUGUUCAAAAGGGAAACAGCCCAGACCAUCAGCUAAGGUCCCUAAAUCUACGCUAAGUGUGAAAGGUAGUCUCGCGCCAUAGACAGAUAGGAGGUUGGCUUAGAGGUAGCCAUCCUUUAAAGAGUGUGGUGGUAGGAGAGCAUUCCGAUCGCACUGAAGCUCGACCCGCGAGGGCGAGUGGAGCGUUCGGAAGAGAGAAUGUUGGCAUGAGUAGCCCACAAUCCCAAUGAGAAAUUGGAACCCCGAAAAUCCAAGGUUUCCGUGGCACUGGCAAUCAACCACGGGUUAGGCGGUCCUAAGGCGAUGGCGAAAGCCGCAGCUGAAUGGGUAGCCGGUUAAUAUUCCGGCCCGCCGUAUGCGUGCGAUGUGGCGACGAAGUGCAGUAGGUCUGGUGUCUAAUUGGUUUGACAUCCGUGGUCUGAGGAGGUGCGUUUGGCAAAUCCGGCGCAGGGCCCUUCAAUGGGCACCCUCCAAGGUCAGCGGUUAGGUAGGGAAUUUACCCUGCCAAGCAGAUUGAGCGCGCUUCCAAGAAAAACCUCUAAGCAUAACGCGUGCGGCACCGUACCGGAAACCGACACAGGUGGAUAGGGCGAGAAGCCCAAGGGGAACGAGUGAUCUGCCGCUAAGGAACUCGGCAAAAAAGCGGCCGUACCUUAGGUAUAAGGCCUACCCGACGCAAGUCGGGUCGCAGCGAAAGUCUCUCUGGCGACUGUUUACCAAAAACACAGCUCCCUGCGAACUCGUAAGAGGAUGUAUAGGGGGUGACACCUGACCGAUGCGAGAAGGUCAAGCUUGGGGGUGUGUGUCUCACUGCGUUCGACACAACGCGAUGCGAAUUACGCGAAUUCCAUCCGAAUCUACGAAUCCCGGAUUAAAUCCAAAUUUGUAGAUUCGCAUACAUUCGCAGAUUAGCAUCGGAUAGGUGGCGAGCGGAGCGAGGCACAUGCUCACCGAGUCAAGCCCUCGUCAAUGUCAGCCGUAACUAUAACGGUUCUAAGGUAGCGCAAUUCCUUUUCGGGUAAGUUCCGAAGCGCACGAAAGGUGUAACGACUGGAGAACUGUCUCAGCGGCAUACUCGGCGAAAAUGCGAUUCCCGUGAAGACGCGGGAUACCUGCAGCGGGACGAAAAGACCCCGGAAGCUUUACUGCAGCUUGGUAUUGGCUUUAGGGGUUUGAUGCGUAGCGUAGUGGGGAGCCUUUGAAGCGGUCCUUUCGGGGGCCGUGGAGGCGACAAUGAAACACCCAUCUUCAAAUCUUUAAAAUCUAACCGACGGAAAACCGAAUAGAGGAAAGUCCGUCGAGACAGUGCUUGGCAGGCAGUUUAAAUGGGGCGUUUUCCUCCUAAAGAGUAACGGAGGAGUUUAUUAAGGUUGGCUAGGGUCGGAUGGAAACCGACCUCGUCGUGUAAAGGCACAAGCCAGCUUGACUGCAAGACAUACAAGUCGAGCAGGUGCGAAAGCAGAACUUAGUGACCCGACCACACAUCAUAGAAUGGUGGGAGACACCGGAUAAAAGCUACUCCGGGGAUAACAGGCUGGUGUCGUCUGAGCGUUCCUAGCGACGACGACGCUCGGCACCUCGAUGUCGGCUCGCCUUAGCGCGGGGGUGAAGAAGCUCCCAAGCGUUUGGCUGUUCGCCAAUUAAAAGGGCACGUGAGCUGGGUUCAGACCGUCGUGAGACAGGUUGGUCUCUAUCUGCUGCAGGCGUGGACGCUUGAGGGGAGUUGACCCUAGUACGAGAGGACUGGGUUGAACAGACCUCUGGUCUACCGGCUUUGCCACCAGGUGAAGCGCCGGGUAGCUAUGUCUGGAUGGGAUAAGCGCUGAAAGCAUCUAAGCACGAAGCCCACCCCAAGAUUAGGCGUCGUCCGCAAGGACAUGGCUUGGUCGCAGACUACGACCUCGAUAGGCUCUAGGUGUAAGAUCCGCAAGGAUUUGAGCCAAGGAGUACUAAAAGCCACUGCCAAUCAUC
rnacentral:rRNA from 1 species